rnacentral:rRNA from 1 species
UGCUUAAUACAUGCAAGUCAAGGAGAAAGGGUUUCUUCGGAUGCCCGAGUAAACUGGCGAACGGGUGAGUAACACGUAGGUAAUCUGCCCUCAGGACGGGGAUAACAUCGCCAACGCGGUGCUAAUACCGGAUGAUGCAGUUGAUCCGCAUGGAUUUAUUGUUAAAGUGGGCUUCGGCUCAUGUCUGAGGAUGAACCUGCGCCCCAUUAGUUUGUUGGUGAGGUAACGGCUCACCAGGACUACGAUGGGUAGCCGACCUGAGAGGGUGACCGGCCACACUGGGACUAGAGAUACGGCCCAGACUUCUACGGAAGGCAGCAGUAAGGAAUAUUGCGCAAUGGCCGAAAGGCUGACGCAGCAACGCCGCGUGAGGGAUGAAGCUUCUAGGAGUGUAAAC